ACCCCCUGGCAAUGGGCAAAGAGACACCUCAUUGGUGGUGUUGCUCUUAUAUCAGUCAGGGGCAAAGUAGAUGACAGUCCUUUGUUCAUCCUGGCUUGAUGCCUGGAUCAGUGGCCAAAGCUGUUUCAUGCCUAGGGCACAAAA
ensembl:snoRNA